CCUCCCCCUCCCACCCCUUUCCUCUCUUCUCUCACCUGUGCAGAAACAUUGCCAGCAGUGUUGAUAGCACCUAUGACUAUCCGGAAGGUUACUGAAACACAAAUGAAAGAGAGAGCUCCUCACUUUUUGCAAGCAGAAAGGCAAAACAACUUUUUUCUGCCCCUCUCACGGGCACCAUAUCUUUCUCUUUCUCUAGAUUACCCUCCCAGCAUAAAUUUACCUCUUCACCAAUUUACCCCUUCCCCAGUGUACAGAACACAUGCUUCUGUAUAUAAAAGUUUGAAGAGUAAGGGGUGGUUGUUAUUAUAAUGCAACAUUGAGUUAUUUAAGUUCCAUUUAGAGAGGUGAAGAUAGUUAAAUUUAGCUGACAGUUCGAAGGGAAAUGGCACUAGAAGCACUAUCUUCUAGUGAGUUCCUGAACUUCAUAAUCUAUGACACUAUUCCUUCAACUCCAUAUAACUGCCAUGACUCCCUAGAGACAGCAGGUUUCUUGUUAGAGAAUUUAAAACCUCAAGACCAUGGUGUUUCUGUAAAUAGCUCUUCACUAAUGACUCAACAAAGAUGUUCUAUGGGACGAGAAGCCACCAAUAGGGGGCAGAAUUUAUUAGCUGUGCAAGGAAAAAAGAAAAGAAGAAGAAAGCCAAGAGUUUGUAAGAACAGAGAAGAAGCUGAGACACAAAGGAUGACACACAUUGCUGUUGAGAGGAAUCGGAGGAAACUGAUGAACGGGUAUCUUGCCGUUUUGAGAUCUCUCAUGCCUGAAUCUUAUGUUCAAAGGGGUGACCAGGCUUCUAUAGUGGGUGGUGCCAUAGAGUUCGUGAAGGAGUUAGAGCACCUUCUGCAAUCCUUUGAAGCCAGAAAGCUCAAACUACAUCAAGGACUAACAGGACCUGAUUAUGACAUUGAAGAUGCUACUGCAACCUCAGAGUUUCCACCACCACCCUUCGCACAGUUUUUUGUGUAUCCUCAAUACACUUGGUCUCAAAUCCCUAACAAGUUUACGUCAAAAACCAAAGCAUCCAUAGCCGAUAUUGAGGUCAGUUUGAUUGAAACCCAUGCAAAUCUGCGGAUUCUCUCAAGAAGAAGCCCCAGACAACUUUCAAAGCUAGUUGCUGGAUUUCAAACACUUUACCUCGCUGUCCUUCACAUCAAUGUGACCACCAUGGACCCCUUGGUUCUAUACUCAAUCAGUGCCAAGGUAUGUACAAUGAAUAUAUGUUGUGCUAUUGUUUGCAUAAGGUUGCACACUUGUGUUUCUCUUCAUUUUACUUUAAUUUGGACCCUGACACAAAAGAAAAGUAAAUUCCGAACCCUACUCUUAUAUUGUUUAUGUAACUUUGGGUGCCAUCUCUAUCAAUAAUAUUUGUAUUGUAAGGAUGUUUUCUCAUAUUUUAGAAAAAUGCAGUCACUUGAUUGAUUAAAUACUACGGGACAUGUUACACGGGUCAUGUAUUUCGUUCAGAAAGCAUGAAUAGCACUGAAUAGCACUAUAAUUAUGCAACUAGUAUAUGCUCCUAACAAAUGACCCCACAAUAAUGAGAUCGAUGGCGAGGAAAUCUGUCGCCAUUUUAUAAGCAAUGGCCUUCAAUUAUAGCCAUACGGGCCAGGGGGGAAUGGGCAGGCUUGAAGAAGGAUGCGAACUCACCUCGGUAGAUGACAUCGCAGGAGCAGUCCACCACAUGCUUCGAAUAAUUGAGGAAGAAACUGCCCUGUGUUGAUCAGUCAAGUCAUUUAUCUAUCCAAAAUGCCCAUUGGUGGACGACAAAAUCACCAUAAUGCCACCCACUUUUGUCUCUUGUGAUGAAGUUCCAGGUCUUCCUUCUGGGGCUUUUCAGUGCAUCUUCAGUGUAGUUGGACACUUGUGCUUCGUGAGUUGUAAUGUUUUUUUUUUGUUUUUUUAACAGUCCAUGAGGGCUAAAACUUUAAAAAGUGUAUUUUCAAACAGAAAGGAAAAUGGAAGGAGAGAGAUAAUGGGAUUUGAGAGUCUUGCCAUGUUUGCAACUAUCUGGCAUGUGAAGGUAUCUGUUUCAAGGACUGAAAAUGCGAAGCAUAUGACUCUUUUCUUUC